rnacentral:lncRNA from 1 species
AUCGAAGGAGAGAAAUUGUGACGCUUCGAGAACAUCAGGGUAUAUUUGGUGAGGGAAGUUUGCAGAUUGUCAACAUCAUCAACUGGAGUCAACUGAAGGAGUCUGGUGCCUUAUUGGUGAGGGAAGUUUGCAGAUUGUCAACAUCAUCAACUGGAGUCAACUGAAGGAGUCUGGUGCCUUCAAUGCUUCGAUUUACUAUCUCUGGGGCAUUUUCAUCAACAUUU